rnacentral:sRNA from 2 species
AUGUACCCAUAGGUACAUUCCGGUUCCUGUGCGCCGUCCGCCUUGCCCGCAGUCCGCUCGCUACGCCCUUGACGCC